AUGAAGAGGCUGCUGUGCUCUCUGUUGGGGCUUCUGUGCACGCAGAUUUUCUGUGUGAAAGGGCAGCAAGUGGAGCAGAGUCCCGUGUCCUUGGAUCUGCAGGAAGGGGAGAAUGCAACACUGCAGUGCAACUUUUCCACCACAGCAACUCAGUUGCAGUGGUUUUACCAAAGUUCUGGGGGACGCCUCGUCAGCCUGUUUUACAAUCCUUCUGGAACAAAGCAGAAUGGAAGACUGAUGUCCACGACCAUCACUAAGGAACGCCGCAGCUCGUUGCAUAUUUCCUCCUCCCAGAUCACAGACUCAGGCACUUAUCUCUGUGCUAUGAUGCACAGUGCUGUCCACACACCUGCAGCCUGUACACAAACCUGA